CCCUUCAUCCCAUUUAAUCGGCAAAAUAGAGAAUGAAAUAGGUUCUUCCUUGUGAUCCACAAAGUGAUAAUUUGAGACAGGUGGUACUGGUAAGGUCUCAGCCUCAUCAUCUGAAGACGCCAUUACUCUAUUGUAGUUCCAGUCCUGCUACUUAACAACUAAAUUCAAUGAGUGGAAUAACAAAAUAAAAAAUGACUAAAAAUCCGACCUACAAUGAAAGAGAAUACUUCACUUUCCCUUAAGACUAGAACAAACACCCGUUCUUGAAACAGGAAUAGGAUUGAUCAUAGUGACAUAUCCAUACGAAGUACUCCCUAAAAUGCAAAUACAAAAAGGGUAAUUGAGAGGGACGAAGAAGGUACCUGAAUGGCCUUCGGUUGAGAGCCAAUCCCUACAAGAAGCUAUUCAAACUCGGGAAAUGGCAAUACCGAACAAUUUCAACAAUGUUAGCAGCGAAGAUAGCAAAGGAAGAAUGGGAACAGAUUGUAAACAAGAAUCGGAUACCAGCAGCCC